rnacentral:rRNA from 1 species
GACGAACGCUGGCGGCGUGCCUAAUACAUGCAAGUCGAGCGAGCGGAACUAACAGAUUUACUUCGGUAAUGACGUUAGGAAAGCUAGCGGCGGAUGGGUUAGUAACGCGUGGGGAACCUGCCCCAUAGUCUGGGAUACCACUUGGAAACAGGUGCUAAUACCGGAUAAGAAAGCAGAUCGCAUGAUCAGCUUUUAAAAGGCGGCGUAAGCUGUCGCUAUGGGAUGGCCCCGCGGUGCAUUAGCUAGUUGGUAAGGUAAAGGCUUACCAAGGCGAUGAUGCAUAGCCGAGUUGAGAGACUGAUCAGUCACAUUGGGACUGAGACACGGCCCAAACUCCUACGGGAGGCAGCAGUAGGGAAUAUUCCACAAUGGACGAAAGUCUGAUGGAGCCACGCCGCGUGAGUGAAGAAGGUUUUCGGAUCGUAAAGCUCUGUUGUUGGUGAAGAAGGAUAGAAGUAGUAACUGGCCUUUAUUUGACGUUAAUAAACCAGAAAGUCACGGCUAACUACGUG